rnacentral:rRNA from 1 species
GACGAACGCUGGCGGCAUGCCUAACACAUGCAAGUCGAGCGAGUUGAUCCCUUCGGGGUGAAGCUAGCGGCGGACGGGUGAGUAACAUGUGGGCAACCUGCCUCAUAGAGGGGAAUAGCCUACCGAAAGGAAGAUUAAUACCGCAUAAGAUUGUAGCUUCGCAUGAAGCAGCAAUUAAAGGAGUAAUCCGCUAUGAGAUGGGCCCGCGGCGCAUUAGAUAGUUGGUGGGGUAAAGGCUCACCAAGGCGACGAUGCGUAGCAGACCUGAGAGGGUGAUCGGCCACAUUGGGACUGAGACACGGCCCAGACUCCUACGGGAGGCAGCAGUGGGGAAUAUUGCACAAUGGGGGAAACCCUGAUGCAGCAAUGCCGCGUGAGUGAUGACGGCCUUCGGGUUGUAAAGCUCUGUCUUCGGGGACGAUAAUGACGGUACCCGAGGAGGAAGCCACGGCUAACUACGUGCCAGCCGCCGCCGUAA